rnacentral:rRNA from 1 species
GACGAACGCUGGCGGCGUGCUUAACACAUGCAAGUCGAACGAAGUGGCGAACGGGUGAGUAACGCGUAAUCAACCUGCACUUCAGAGGGGGACAACAGUUGGAAACGACUGCUAAUACCGCAUACUGAAGGAGGGGAUUGCGUCUGAGUAGCUAGUUGGAGGGGUACCGGCCCACCAAGGCGAGGAUCAGUAGCCGGGUUGAGAGGAUGAACGGGCAAAUUGGGACGGAGAAACGGGCCCGACUCCGAAGGGAUGGAGCAGUGGGGAAUCUUCCGAAAUUGACGGAAGUCUGACGGAGGAACGCCGCGUGAGUGAUGACGGCCUUCGGGUUGUAAAGCUCUGUUAAUCGGGACGCGGUACCGGAAUAGAAAGCCACGGCUAACUACGUGCCAGCAGCCGCGGUAAUAC